AUUGCAACAAUCGAACACCAUUCAUUGACUAAGUAGUGGAUAAUGAGACCUUUGAUAAAAAGAAGUUUUGGACCGAUAUUCGGUUUCUGCAAAGCAAUACGUGUGAGAUAUACUAACAACCAGUUUUAUUAAACCUGUCCAUUAAUAAAUUUGGCAACUAAAGAUUUUGAUAAGAAGUAUAUUUUGUGUGUGUGUGGGAACGUCAUGGUUACCAGAGGCCCAAUUACACCCCUCCCCUAUUUCCUCAAUCCCACGACCAAUCCUGAAAUCUCUAACCCCCAAAGGCCGACAACGACAAUGUAAACCCUCUAAUUAAUCUAAUAAAGAUAUAUAAAAUAAAACCGUUUAAAAAAAUGUACAGGACAUAAGACAUAAGUUUGCCAUAAAUACCCUAAUUAAAGAAUUAAAGGCGUGAUUUAAUCAU